rnacentral:tmRNA from 1 species
GGGGGUGACUGGUUUCGACAGGGUGGGUCUGAGAUGGGCAGCAGGCCGUGGUCUCCUCGCCACGCUAAACAGGGGUACCGUCAAAUUGAAUUGACGACAACAACGCUUUUGAGCCUCAGCUGGCUCUCGCUGCUUAGUUUUAACUAACUAACCAGCGCGUCAAACCGGAGGUUGCUCCCGCCUCCGGGGCGGCGUCAUCCUAGGGAGAUGCACGAGCGGACGUGGCUGGUAUGCCGCUCGCCAAGAUCGAACCAGCUGGGACGUCGCGCGCGGGUCACCGGGUGCGCGUCGUCUAAGAUCUAACCGGUAACUGAGCCUGGAGACACCUGUCAGGGAUUUGCUUUGGACCGGAGUUCGAUUCUCCGCACCUCCACCA